ACUGUAAUACUAAUAUAAGUUAUGGCUGAACCAUAUUCCGAAGACACUUCAUAUCCAACUUCGAAGGCGAUUCACGUAACUUUUUUUCAAAUAGGUUUACUUCAUAGACUAUAUAUUAUAUGGACUGCCAACUCUACGCACUAAGCCUAUAUUUUUCAAUAAACAUGUCCCGUUCACGGAGGCGUCCUUGGUUGCAAGGUAAAUUGACUUCCGGUAGAUUUUUUUUUACUACAUAAAGAAACCAUUCCCGAAGAUUUUUACCACCACUUUUACAGCAAAUCAUGAAUGAAAACUGAAUUGUUAUAGAAGAUGUUACAAAGGAGCAUACUACUUCCACAAACCUGAUUUGAUUGUCACUAACUUUCAAAUUGAAGGGGAUCUACUACAACUGCUCAUGAAUUUUGAGAUUGUACAGCAAAUAGAGGAACAAAUUUUAUCUGCUUCCACUUAGACAAACAGCAUGGAAAUGUGCUAUUGUAAUGAGUAGAAGAUAUUUGUCAUUUAGAGUAUCAUGUGUCAAUGACUUAUGAAAACAAAAUGCAACAGCAAAUUAUCAGUCAGCACAUUUUAAGAUGAGGAAAAGAACAAUAUAAGCUAAAUUCAUUGAUGCAUUAUUUAUACAAAAAUGUAUAGUCAACCCAGUCAUCAGUCCAUUUUUUUAUGAAGCCAGUUACAGUUACAAUGAAGGGAUGAAAUUUGAGAUAAUAUUCUGUUUGUUUUAUGAAAUGAGAAUAGACCUACAUUAGAAAUUGAAAUG